GCAGACGGGUGAGUAACGCGUGGGAAUCUACCCUUUUCUACGGAAUAACGCAGGGAAACUUGUGCUAAUACCGUAUGAGCCCUUCGGGGGAAAGAUUUAUCGGGAAAGGAUGAGCCCGCGUUGGAUUAGCUAGUUGGUGGGGUAAAGGCCUACCAAGGCGACGAUCCAUAGCUGGUCUGAGAGGAUGAUCAGCCACAUUGGGACUGAGACACGGCCCAAACUCCUACGGGAGGCAGCAGUGGGGAAUAUUGGACAAUGGGCGCAAGCCUGAUCCAGCCAUGCCGCGUGAGUGAUGAAGGCCCUAGGGUUGUAAAGCUCUUUCACCGGUGAAGAUAAUGACGGUAACCGGAGAAGAAGCCCCGGCUAACUUCGUGCCAGCAGCCGCGGUAAUACGAAGGGGGCUAGCGUUGUUCGGAAUUACUGGGCGUAAAGCGCACGUAGGCGGAUUGUUAAGUGAGGGGUGAAAUCCCAGGGCUCAACCCUGGAACUGCCUUUCAUACUGGCAAUCUAGAGUCCAGAAGAGGUGAGUGGAAUUCCGAGUGUAGAGGUGAAAUUCGUAGAUAUUCGGAGGAACACCAGUGGCGAAGGCGGCUCACUGGUCUGGAACUGACGCUGAGGUGCGAAAGCGUGGGGAGCAAACAGGAUUAGAUA
rnacentral:rRNA from 1 species